rnacentral:rRNA from 1 species
AACGAACGCUGGCGGCAUGCCUAACACAUGCAAGUCGAACGAGACCUUCGGGUCUAGUGGCGCACGGGUGCGUAACGCGUGGGAACCUGCCCUUAGGUUCGGAAUAACUCCCCGAAAGGGGUGCUAAUACCGGAUAAUGUCUUCGGACCAAAGAUUUAUCGCCUUUGGAUGGGCCCGCGUUGGAUUAGCUAGUUGGUAGGGUAAAAGCCUACCAAGGCGACGAUCCAUAGCUGGUCUGAGAGGAUGAUCAGCCACACUGGGACUGAGACACGGCCCAGACCCCUACGGGGGGCAGCAGGGGGGAAUAUUGGACAAUGGGCGAAAGCCUGACCCAGCAAUGCCGGGGGAGUGAUGAAGGCCUUAGGGUUGUAAAGCUCUUUUACCCGGGAUGAUAAUGACAGUACCGGGAGAAUAAGCCCCGGCUAACUCCGU